AUUGAACGCUGGCGGCAUGCUUUACACAUGCAAGUCGAGCGGCAGCACGGGGGUAACCCUGGUGGCGAGCGGCGAACGGGUGAGUAAUACAUCGGAACAUGCCCAGUCGUGGGGGAUAACACUUCGAAAGAAGUGCUAAUACCGCAUACGUCCUGAGGGAGAAAGCGGGGGAUCGCAAGACCUCGCGCGAUUGGAGUGGCCGAUGUCAGAUUAGCUAGUUGGUGGGGUAAAGGCCUACCAAGGCAACGAUCUGUAGCUGGUCUGAGAGGAUGAUCAGCCACACUGGAACUGAGACACGGCCCAGACUCCUACGGGAGGCAGCAGUGGGGAAUUUUGGACAAUGGGGGCAAGCCUGAUCCAGCCAUGCCGCGUGAGUGAAGAAGGCCUUCGGGUUGUAAAGCUCUUUCGGCAGGAACGAAACGGUGAGCUCUAACAUAGCUUGCUAAUGACGGUACCUGAAGAAGAAGCACCGGCUAACUACGUG
rnacentral:rRNA from 1 species